rnacentral:rRNA from 1 species
AUUGAACGCUGGCGGCAGGCCUAACACAUGCAAGUCGAACGCGUGGCGGACGGGUGAGUAAUGUCUGGGCAACUGCCUGAUGGAGGGGGAUAACUACUGGAAACGGUAGCUACUCCCGCAUACCAUCAGAUGUGCCCAGAUGGGAUUAGCUAGUUGGUGGGGUAACGGCUCACAAAGGCGACGAUCCCUAGCGGGUCUGAGAGGAUGACCAGCCACACUGGAACUGAGACACGGGCCAGACUCCUACGGGAGGCAGCAGUGGGGAAUAUUGCACAAUGGGCGAAAGCCGGAUGCAGCCAUGCCGCGUGUAUGAAGAAGGCCUUCGGGUUGUAAAGUACUGUCAGCGGGGAGGCGUUAACCGCAGAAGAAGCACCGGCUAACUCCGUGCCAGCAGCCGCGGUAAUAC